GAUGAACGCUAGCUACAGGCUUAACACAUGCAAGUCGAGGGGCAGCAUGAAAGUUUGCUUGCAAACUUUUGAUGGCGACCGGCGCACGGGUGAGUAACACGUAUCCAACCUGCCUCAUACUCGGGGAUAGCCUUUCGAAAGAAAGAUUAAUACCCGAUGUUAUAGUCCUACCGCAUGAUGGGAUUAUUAAAGAAUUUCGGUCAUCGAUGGGGAUGCGUUCCAUUAGCUUGUUGGCGGGGUAACGGCCCACCAAGGCAUCGAUGGAUAGGGGUUCUGAGAGGAAGGUCCCCCACAUUGGAACUGAGACACGGUCCAA
rnacentral:rRNA from 1 species